UGGCACAGGAAAACGGGCCGUCCCUUGG
rnacentral:sRNA from 1 species